GUUGAGUAUCAGAUUGCUGCAGACCUGCUGAGUUGCAUGGGGAUGUUUCGACUGCAGAAUCCUGACACGUGAACUUUGGCACAUUGACCAAGGAGCUUCUUGCCCCUGCUUUGAGGAUGCAGAGAGCUGGCACUCUGCUUAUUGACUGCACGCCUGGGAAGAUGUUAUCGUCAGCAGCAAAGCUCCUUCGGAUUGCCACCCCCCCCCCUCCCCACCAUGGCUGUCAUUCUAACGUUUUGUCCUUUCAAGGUUUGCCAGUCUUGCGAUAUUCUUCGUUUGAGAUAAAAAGCCCCGGAUGAAUGAAAAUGAUCUGUCUCCCUACAUUCCGAAAAUAUUAUUCUGACCUCUUGCUAUACUACUUGGAGACAUGAGCACAGGACCCCAGGCAACCCUCUGCCCUUUUGCUCAGUCACAGUGAUGUGACAGUUGGGCCUGUUCUGCAUCCUGCCUGGCAAAUGGCAGCUUACAUCAAAGAACAAGCAAAGAACUCUGACUGGAUGCCUCCGAUGGCCUGGCUUGAACGUUUCAGCCCAGAGGGAAGACCUCUCUAACGCACAACGUCGCCGUUCCAACUGAAGGCUCUGUGCGACCUAGUCUACGAGCGGACAUGUGUAUGAGUGUGACUCACAACUCGAAGGAUUACAGUCCUGAAACGUGUCAAUCCACCAUAACCUUGAGGAACAUAAUUAUAAUUUAUAUUGGUUUUUACGUCGUUUUCAUGGUGAUUAGAAGCUUUAAAAUGCCACAUCGGCCACUGGAACAAGACAGGAGCAGGGAAAAUAUUUAGAAUUGAAAAACUGUAAGAUAUGUGGGGCUUUGGUGCAAUACUGGUAGGUGUUAAAGAAACUGCUCAAAACUAACCCAGGCAUCAUUCUAAGAAAGAACUGUCUGUGGUCGCCAAGUGACAGAGCAACAUAUAAGUGAAGACGUAUUAUGUGAUCGGUGCAUUUCUGAUAGUAUGUGGUCCUCGGGA